AAAAUAUAGGAGUACAUUUCACUGAACGUGACCAACUCCGGAGCACUCUGCUGUCAAGAGUCACUCCGAAGGGAUAUUGGUAUAAGUGUCUCUCCGAUCUGAGAUCACCAUAGUGACUUGCAAGCAACUCACUAUGCUUUGGUGUCGGACUACCUAAAUUUUUAAUUCAGCGAUGAAAGAUUUCUGAGCAUAAUCAAAUACUUGUGA
rnacentral:lncRNA from 1 species